AAGAAGGCCUUCGGGUUGUAAAGCACUUUCAGUCGUGAGGAAGGUGGUAGUGUUAAUAGCACUAUCAUUUGACGUUAGCGACAGAAGAAGCACCGGCUAACUCCGUGCCAGCAGCCGCGGUAAUACGGAGGGUGCGAGCGUUAAUCGGAAUUACUGGGCGUAAAGCGCAUGCAGGUGGUUUGUUAAGUCAGAUGUGAAAGCCCGGGGCUCAACCUCGGAAUUGCAUUUGAAACUGGCAGACUAGAGUACUGUAGAGGGGGGUAGAAUUUCAGGUGUAGCGGUGAAAUGCGUAGAGAUCUGAAGGAAUACCGGUGGCGAAGGCGGCCCCCUGGACAGAUACUGACACUCAGAUGCGAAAGCGUGGGGAGCAAACAGGAUUAGAUACCCUGGUAGUCCACGCCGUAAACGAUGUCUACUUGGAGGUUGUGGCCUUGAGCCGUGGCUUUCGGAGCUAACGCGUUAAGUAGACCGCCUGGGGAGUA
rnacentral:rRNA from 1 species